ACUCCUACGGGAGGCAGCAGUGGGGAAUAUUGGACAAUGGGGGAAACCCUGAUCCAGCCAUGCCGCGUGUGUGAAGAAGGCCUUCGGGUUGUAAAGCACUUUCAGUGGGGAGGAAAGGUUGUUGGUUAAUACCUAACAGCUGUGACGUUACCCACAGAAGAAGCACCGGCUAACUCCGUGCCAGCAGCCGCGGUAAUACGGAGGGUGCAAGCGUUAAUCGGAAUUACUGGGCGUAAAGCGUGCGCAGGCGGUCUGUUAAGCGAGAUGUGAAAGCCCCGGGCUCAACCUGGGAACUGCAUUUCGAACUGGCAGACUAGAGUCUUGUAGAGGGGGGUAGAAUUCCAGGUGUAGCGGUGAAAUGCGUAGAGAAUCUGGAGGAAUACCGGUGGCGAAGGCGGCCCCCUGGACAAAGACUGACGCUCAGGCACGAAAGCGUGGGGGAAGCAAACAGGAUUAAGAUAACCCUGGUAGGCUCU
rnacentral:rRNA from 1 species